UUUUUGCCGUGCCUAGAGACCCUAGAAUACAGAGUCUGAACAUCUGAGCUAAAGCCCCUCAAAAUGGCGUACAUAUAUAUAUAGAGGAGAGCUAUAAUAACAGAAAGAAAUACACCGUACCUUACUGUUGUGUAACUAAGUGCUCCAAUUAAUCAAAAAAACACUUUUCCAUGCAUCGCUUAGCAACAAAAAAGGAAAGAAAGCAACAGUGGAUUGUGAAUAUUGGUUGACUUGACUUAGAUUCAACAGAAGCCCACUUCAUAUGCGAGGCACAUUUUGCGACUGAAACGUGGGAGAAACCACGGAUUGACGGAAAGAAGAAAUUGAAAAAUACAGCAAUCCCUACAAUAUUUAACAAUAAAAACAUUCAAAAUAUUACAGUUUCUAACAACACAGCCAACAAUUUGAUUUCUUCGAAUGUAAGUUUAAUUCUAUUUUUAAUAAAAAUAUAU